UUUAUUUUUUCAAGCAGACACGCUGCUAUGUUUAGACAGAGAGACACCUUGAAUACUUCUCGCGUGUUUUUAUGCUGUUUAUUUCCAUGAAAUAACAUUCUAGACCAUGCACAAGCUACAUUAGCUUAUGUUGCCUUUGUCUGUCCAGAAAUGUAUUUGCGUCCUGAGUUGUUGUAUAAUUACAAGCAGUGUGUGCACCAAGUCGGACCUCCUUACUAACAAGUCGUAGACCUGACACAACCAAGUUAUGACUUUAUCUCCCACUGGAGAGUCCAUGCAGGGAUCUACACAACUCUCCCUCAGUGCUUCAAGUUCAAAGGGCUACACCACUAUGCCAGUGGGGAAGGUCUUUCAUCCAGGUUUGCAAGGGCAUUGAUGGCCAACUGCAUGUCAACCUGCUGUGCUCAGUGAAUGUGUCAGAACCCCCUCUGGGGACACUACCAGACAUGGAGAGCGCAGAGGCUGUCAGACUGCUCAAGUCCACAAGGGAUUCUGAGAAGCACUUAUUUCUGGCUGUUGGAUUCCACAAACCUCACAUUCCCUUCAGAAUCCCACAGGAGGUCUUGAAGCUCUACCCCCUGGAUAAGAUGACCCUGGCUUCAGACCCUGAUGGUCCUAAAGGCCUCCCCAGCAUGACCUACAAUCCCUGGACUGACAUAAGGAAGAUGUUCAAUGAAUGUCAGCUUCACAUAUGAACCAAUACCAAAGGAAUUCCAGGUUGAUUAUACAUGUACACUCUUGGAAAAAAAGUGCAAUCUAAAACCUAAAAGGGUUCUUCGGCUGUCCCCAAAGGAGAACCCUUUGAAGAGCCGUUUUUGGUUUCAUACCACAUACUAUUAAUAUUUGUGUUAGUGAUUCAGCAUCAGAAGUUAUGUCAAGACACUCUCUCAUUAUAGAAUAUAUAUUGUUUAAUAUAAAUCCAGAGUUAAAAAUCUUUCAGUCAGAGACCUUCAUCAGACAAUGUUUGUGACUCAGCUCCAGAUUCGACAGCAAUAUUAUGUCUCUGUGAUGUACCUGGACUCCCAAGUGGGCAUGUUGUCAAAUACUCUGGAUGAUCUGGGCCUGGCUAAAGACAAUGAUGUGGUCUUUACUUCAGACCAUGGUAAAGUAAUUUGGCCAUAUAGCCCAGUCCUAAACUGGGCUGGGUUCAGUAUGAAAAAAAUGGUGUGCAGUGUUCAGUUAAAUAGAAACGUUGCUGUUCUGAAUGACAAGUUGAAAAACGGGGAGGAGUUGGGUCGUGGGUUGGUAUGACGAUUCAAAAUACACCGCUGCCCUUUAAAUACGUCACUCAUUGAUCCAAGCCACACACCAAACGUACAGAAACAUGUCAUUCAGUACGAACCGUCACACAAUGUACCAAACGUUUAAUCAAACUGAACGAACCCCUAGUGUCUGUAAUGGUUUGUUAAUGGCAGUACUUGAGGUACUCUUUAGCCACUAGAUGGGGGUGUGAGAACAUCAAAAUUCUGCCUUCACCUUCCUGAGUUGACAAAGAUUUACUUCACCAGCUUGGAUCCAUUCAUAGCAUAUAUCAGUCCCUCCAGGAUUCUGUGAUCAUGUUUUUUUUGUUGAAAAAUCAACAAUUCCCUCCAUAUUAUGCGAGGGCUUGCAAAUUUGAACAAUCACUGCACUUCUGCAUUAAAAAAAGUCAAAUCAUCGCAUAAAACUGACCCAUCACCACAGUUUAUAAAGAGGGCAUGCAAUUUCAACCAAUCACCUCUAAUUUACCACAUAAUAUGGGUCAAUCAAGCCACACGUCAACAAAUGUUUUCCCUCGUCAGCGCAUUUCUACAACAAAUUGGACAAAAUCAUUGCAUAUUACCGUGCAAAAUGUCAGAAUUUUUGCCUACAAAUAUCACAAAAAAUCCCUGCCGAAAUCCUGGAGGGACUGAUAUGUUGUCUUGACUGAACUGUAGGUUGAUUUACAGGAGCGUGGUAUGUAAAAUGAGUUAUAGUUACAUAGUUACAUGUUUUUUAUUCCAUGCCUGUAUGUUGCAUACCAUGGCCAAUAAUACAUUUUAUGUUGUCCGAUUGCUUAAUUACAUUGUCAUUUUUGUAAAAUAUGAUUCCUUU